GAGAAAAAUAUGACGUUUCAUCAGUAAAAAUUGAAGUUAUUUAUGAAGAGGGCCAACUACAAGUGCCAUCUCUUGCGCCUGUGGUUAGCACAUCUUCACUACCAGUUUCGUCGGCUUUUCCAAUCUGGAGGCAGCAGUGCAGUGACUACACCAAGUAGCUCAGCACUCAUACCGCAACGUCACGGCAAACCAAGAUCACGUUCUCGGAAACCUCUCGUGGUAGUGAAUUAAGCAGCUCCGAUGAUGAUGAUGACAGUGACUCAGUGGUGCCAUUUUUGUUGCCGAGGGAGUACCAGCAGUCUCUGGACAUUCCCAUGGACCCUAAACUGGAUUUACCUGUUCCACCUAUUGAACCGCCUACUGCUAUUCCUGAAAAAAAGCCUGGAGACCAAUCCAUCAAACCUGAACUGGAUGGACUUAGUGAUGGAGCAAUGCAACCUGUUGAUCUCUUUCACUUUAUGUGGUCAGAUUACCCAAACCCUCCAAUUCCAUCGCGUGAAAAAGGUUCCCUACCUUUCACACAACAGAAUGUUGGCCCAACUGUGAGGUGCAGAGAUCCAUAUGAAAUUUUUACAACAAUUUGGGACCAAAAAAUAAUGAACCACAUUGUGAAAGAGACCAACAGGUACGCAGAAGAUCAGGUGUCACGGG